CUCAGCCAAUAGCAGGGCAGAAUUUUAUGUCAGGUGCGGCUGGCUCGAGUCUCCCGUGAAAUACGGGAGGCGUCGGUAAAGUUUAGCUUUGUCCAAGCUCUUUUUCUGUGAAAGCUGUGGCUGAGAGCAGAGAGACGAUUCAGGCCUAGUGGAGCUGGAACUUCGGCGUGGGCCAGAGACAGGCGGUUCACCUGUCCGGAGCACGCCAGAGGUAAAAUGGCUGACGCGGAGGCCAGGACGGACUAAGGGAUCCAGCGGAGCAGCCGCGACCGUUUGGGAAAGAGGCACCGCGCUUGGCUUCGCUCAUCGGCUCUACACUUACGUGUGUGUGUGUGUGAUCUGAGUGUUGGAGGUGCAGGCUUGCGUCUUUAGCUCGGUUGAGAUGGACUUUGUAACCAGUACAGCCGCUUUGGAGUUAGGGACUGGCCAAGUGUUGGCAGGGCUUAGUUGUGGAUGGAUUCAGUGUGUGGAAGGCACUCGGGCCUGCUUAUGUUUGGAGCGCGCGUUUGCUUUUGCUGGGCCGUUUCGUCGGUGUUGUCGGUCUGUGGAAGCAUAAAUGCAGUUGUGAUCCGGACACAACUGUGUAUAUGUGGAAGCAGAUAGUGUUGGCAGUACGGGUUGAGUUGCGUGUUGUGUUGUCGGUGUAGGGUGUGUGUUCAGCAGUGUGUGUUCCUGAGGUAGGCCAUUAGCUGCACCUUGAAGUGUUGCAGAAUGUUUAA